GCUUAUCCGAAGAAGUGCAUCGGAAACUGGGUGACUUGAGUGCAGAAGAGGACAGUGGAACUCCAUGUGUAGCGGUGGAAUGCGUAGAUAUAUGGAAGAACACCAGUGGCGAAGGCGGCUGUCUGGUCUGCAACUGACGCUGAGGCUCGAAAGCAUGGGUAGCGAACAGGAUUAGAUACCCUGGUAGUCCAUGCCGUAAACGAUGAGUGCUAGGUGUUGGAGGGUUUCCGCCCUUCAGUGCCGGAGCUAACGCAUUAAGCACUCCGCCUGGGGAGUACGACUGCAAGGUUGAAACUCAAAGGAAUUGACGGGGGCCCGCACAAGCGGUGGAGCAUGUGGUUUAAUUCGAAGCUACGCGAAGAACCUUACCAGGUCUUGACAUCUUGCGCUAACCUAAGAGAUUAGGUGUUCCCUUCGGGGACGCAAUGACAGGUGGUGCAUGGUCGUCGUCAGCUCGUGUCGUGAGAUGUUGGGUUAAGUCCCGCAACGAGCGCAACCCUUGUUACUAGUUGCCAGCAUUCAGUUGGGCACUCUAGUGAGACUGCCGGUGACAAACCGGAGGAAGGUGGGGACGACGUCAGAUCAUCAUGCCCCUUAUGACCUGCGCUACACACGUGCUACAAUGGUCGGUACAACG
rnacentral:rRNA from 1 species